rnacentral:rRNA from 1 species
GACGAACGCUGGCGGCGUGCUUAACACAUGCAAGUCGAACGGAAAGGCCCUGCUUUUGUGGGGUGCUCGAGUGGCGAACGGGUGAGUAACACGUGAGUAACCUGCCCUUGACUUUGGGAUAACUUCAGGAAACUGGGGCUAAUACCGGAUAGGAGCUCCUGCUGCAUGGUGGGGGUUGGAAAGUUUCGGCGGUUGGGGAUGGACUCGCGGCUUAUCAGCUUGUUGGUGGGGUAGUGGCUUACCAAGGCUUUGACGGGUAGCCGGCCUGAGAGGGUGACCGGACACACUAGGACUGAGAUGCGGCCCAGACUCCUACGGUAGGCAGCAGAGGAGAAUAGUGCACAAGGCGCGGAAGCCUGAUGCAGCAACGCCGCGUGCGGGAAGACGGCAUUCGGGUUGUAAACCGCAUUCGCCUGUGACGAAGCGUGAGUGACGGUAAUGGGUAAAGAAGCACCGGCUAACUACGUG